rnacentral:rRNA from 1 species
UACGGGGGGGGCAAGCGUUGUUCGGAAUUACUGGGCGUAAAGGGCUCGUAGGUGGCCAACUAAGUCGGACGUGAAAUCCCUCGGCUUAACCGGGGAACUGCAUCCGAUACUGGAUGGCUUGAGUUCGGGAGAGGGAUGCGGAAUUCCAGGUGUAGCGGUGAAAUGCGUAGACAUCUGGAGGAACACCGGUGGCGAAGGUGGCAUCCUGGACCGACACUGACGCUGAGGAGCGAAAGCCAGGGGAGCAAACGGG